rnacentral:rRNA from 1 species
GUGCCAGCCGCCGCGGUAAUACGUAGGGUGCAAGCGUUAAUCGGAAUUACUGGGCGUAAAGCGUGCGCAGGCGGUUUUGUAAGUUUGUCGUGAAAGCCCCGGGCUCAACCUGGGAAUUGCGAUGAAGACUGCAAGGCUUGAAUCUGGCAGAGGGGGGUAGAAUUCCACGUGUAGCAGUGAAAUGCGUAGAGAUGUGGAGGAACACCGAUGGCGAAGGCAGCCCCCUGGGUCAAGAUUGACGCUCAUGCACGAAAGCGUGGGGAGCAA